GGCGUUGGCUCGGGAGGUAGAGGGCGCGGGUUCCUACCUCUGCUGCCAUCAGCUCACAACCCCUCUUACUUAGGAGCUUUGGAGGCAUUAGGGAACUUUUAAGUCCCGAAAAAAGAAGAUACCAAAGGAAAUGCCAAAGUCAAAGUUAUUAUGUUUAAUUAGAACGUCUUCAUAUGUUACCUUCAGUAACUAUAGACUUUAGCAUUUAGAAUUUUCCUAGGAAAGCAACUUUUAGUUGAGGUUUUCACAUUUCGCAGGAAUCCCAAGGAACACAAUUAUUCAAAUACUCAGGAAUCAUAAGCAACCAUAAAUUUUAUGUUACUAACAGUCCAACCACUUCAAAAGCAAAAUUAGAAUUAUGCUUUAGCAAUUAUAGGAACAAAAUUUAUUCAAUGUGAGUGCAUUUGGACAUGCUUGACAGGAGAUAGAGCCUCCAGAAGAACAUGGGCCCAGGGCUUAGGGAGGUCUUAGUUCUGCCGUCCUGCAGACGAGCCUUGACAAGCCUCAAGCCCUCCUUCGUUCCCCAGGACUUUCUUUUUGUUUGGUGAGGGCACUGAAUUAGAAGCCCUCUCCGUUUCUUCUCCAUCUAAAACUCUGUGAAUUGUCUUGCUGCUUAGUUUUCUUCUCUCGCCACUUUGUUUUUCACUCCAUAAGACUUAAAGGGUGAUCAACAAUCAAUCAGUCAAAUACUAGGAAACAGAACAAGGUGCCACUAGCAGGCAGUUGGCAGAGCGCGGCUUCCCGGGUGCCGCUAGUGGUAAAGAGCCCACCCACCAAUGUAGGAGAAGAGACUAAGGUUCGAUCCCUGGGUCAGGAAGAUCUCUUGGAGGAAGAAAUGGCAACCCACUCUAAAGUUUAUGCCUGGAGAAUCCCAUGGACAGAGGAGCCUGGCGGGCUAUGCUCCGUCGGGUUGCAGAGUCGGCCACGACUGAAGUGACUUAGAACACAUGCAUGUGCGACAUAGGACAGCAGACCUCUGUGCCCAUCAUUUGCACAGCACCUUCAUGACUGCUGCUAUAUCCACGUAUCACCUCGUUCUGAUACUGGCCGUCGGAUUGAGCCCUGUGGUUCAGGGCCAUAGCUGAAGGAUGAACUUUGGGCUGAAGCGCAGCACCUGUGAAGCAGGUACAGAGAGCAGUGAAGGUGGGUAGUAUUUUUGAGAUUAUUUGCUUCAGCUUCCCCACUGCAGUUUCACAGAAGGGGAGACUGAGCCCCAA
rnacentral:lncRNA from 1 species